GGACAUGAACAGGGGAUCUGGUUACAACAUCUGUCACUCCCAUUGAUCACCAGGGUUGAGUUACCUGAUCUGGGUAGGUAGGUAUCCCCAUCCUCCCUCACUGCUCCGUGUUGAAGAGGACCAACCACCUCUGACAGAGGAGGACUGUUUCCUUGCUCAAGGGUGUAUGAGUACAAUAGAUGUCUUCCCUUGCUAGAACCUCCAAACAAACUCAAGAAUACAAAAUAAAUGCUGGGCCUGUUGGUGUAUGCCUGUAAAUGCAGCAUUUGGGAGGCUGAGGCAGAAGAAUCACAGCAAGUUGGAUGUCAACCUGCAAUAUAU
ensembl:misc_RNA 7SK 7SK RNA